CCGCCCAUGUCAAGGCCGCCCUCUGCGCCUGCGCGAGUCUUGGGCGCUUGCGCAGUACCGGCGUCGCUGUGUUCUGCCUCGGGAAGCUGCGGUGUUUCGGCGCAGCGGCGGCCGUUUUCCGCAGGUGCCGUCUGCGGCGCUGCGGUGCGGGCUCCAGCUCUCGGCCCUCCCACCAGCCCGACUUGCAUUUCCAGAACAGGAGGGAAAAGAACGGUUUCAGUGGCCCUAAACAGAGGGAACAAGGAACCAGCAAAUAAUGGGCGUGAUGCCCGGUUCUCAGUGACGCGUGUCUGAGCAGCUUUCUCCCAGGACAUUUUUUUUCCCAAUCAUAUUUUAGGUCAGAGACCAUUUUAACGGAAGUUUCUCAUUUAUACGAAUGCUAAUUUCAUGAACCAAAGCCAGAGGGACAGAAUAGCCCAGAAGAGGUGUCUGCCGCAAAAGGCCUUUGAGGCUGCUGGCUUUGGGGUCUUGUUUAGGGUCGGCCUAACAAGAAAACAAAGCAGCCAAACCUUGAGGGCGAAAAGUACUUUUGUAUGAAAAAAAAAGGGGGGGGGGGGGAGGAAGGAAGAAAAGAAAAAGAACAAACCACUGGCUUGGACGUAAAUAUGUACAACCCAUAUUAAAAAAAAAAGUUUGGUGUUUUCUGUGGUUAAGAAACUGCACAUUAAAUAUGACAGUGCUGCAGUAUAAAAGUGAGAACGUGGUAAAAGCAGGCCUCAAAAGCGUUUGAAAAAGAUCUCAACGUCACUGGUUCGCAGCUAGUCCUUGGAGAAAAAUCAGUGUGCAAAUGUGAAGUGGGGCAAGUAUGUGGGGGGGAAGGUAGCCUUUGGAAGCUUGUGAAACUUGAUCAGGGAGAUUUGAAAUUUACUAAACAUCCUAGUGACCAAGUAUUUGCGUUUCAAACAUUUUUGUAAAACCAGCUCAGGAACUGCUUAUCAUGCACUCCACAGGAAGAAACACUGCUAUAAAUAUUUUAGACACUUUACAAAUAUUAUGCACGGUAACAUUAUCAAGGGACAGAAUCAUCCUAAGCAAAAAUCAAAGGUUGGAGAGGCUAACAGAUUCUUGAUCUCUGAGAAUUUCAAAUGUCUGUGUGAGCUAACCAAAGAUUUCUUAAGAAUUUCAGACAUUUGUGCCAUGAGGGCACUAUAAAUAAUGUCAACAGCCAACUAUGGAGUGGAAGAACAUGUUUGAAGUCGGUGAUAGGCAAAGGUGACUGUGUCUACUCUGCAGCCGAACCUGAGCAUCCAGCAAAAACCUGUAGGGAAAGAGGCCAAAGGCAUGAAUUAACAGGAGAGGAGUUCUGAUUGUUCAAUCAAUGGGGGUGGAGGGAGUUCAGCCUUGCUGGUACCAUGGCAACGCAGUUUAAAUCAGGACUAAAAUAUCUACUGUUAAGAAGGAAAUGAAGCUGCAAACUCAGACAAUGGAAGCAGUUGCAGCCCCUGUGGAGCAGGGCAGCCUGACAAGUAUGUAUCAGCAGGUGGAAGGUAUAACUUGAAGCCAGAAAUUUCCAUUCAGUGCUGCCCGUGGCCAGGAACCCCGUGCUGGCUGAGUCUUGGGAAGGAUUACCUGGGAGGCAGUGCUCUACAAAAGGGAGCAGUGGGGUCCUGGGAAAUUGGGGCUUCUCCAUGCUAUGCCAUCUCCCACACUGGAACAAGGCCUUUGGCCUUGCUGACAAAUGAACAGGGGUGGCUGGCUUUCCCCUGCCUUGCUGCCCAGUUGUUCCUGGAAAUUGGCUGUCCUUUCAGAGAGCCCCUGUCCAGCCCUUUCUGUCUCGGUGGAGUUGUGAUGGCCCCUCCACUGACAGAUCUUGUGGACCACCACUUCUGCGCCUGUGGUUUGGCUUUGGUUGAAGAAGUGGCCAGUGCUAACCAUUACUCACUCGGGCUGCCCACGUCUCUGUGAAGGUGUCAUCCCCAGAAAGGUACCGUGAGUUGCUGCUGUGUAUACAACCAAUAUUUGGUUAAGUUGCAUGGAGAGAUUUCCUAGGUUUCGUCUCAUUUAGAUGUGUGCUCUUUCUCUUUGGCUCUUUCACUGGAAUCUGCCGAUACUUCUUUUCUUUAUUAUUUAUUUGAUAACUGUAUGCUUUGUGGUUUUCACCAUCUUUCCAUGUAGACAUUCCAAAAUGAAAUUGAAUGUAAGCUCUUUAGGGUAAGAACCAAGUCUGAACUAUUUUCUUGCCCUGUCCAUGUAAGCAUGAAGCCUAGUACAUAUGCAGUUUUUCAAAGGUUUACUUAUUUUAUUUGAAAGGUAGAGUGACAGAGACGGAAGGAUUGAGAUCUUCCAUCUUCUUGUUCACUCCCCAAAUGCUUGCAAUAGCCAGGGCUGGGCCAGGUUGAAGUCAGAAGCCAGAAACUCCAUCCAGGUCUCCUAUGUGAGUGGCAGAGACCCAAGAACUUGAGCCAUCAUCUACUCUCUCCCGGGUGCAUUUGCAGGAAGUAAGAUGGGAAGCAUGGGGUAGACAGGGCUGAAAUUAGUUCUCUGAUAUGGAUUCAGGAAGCAGUGGCUUAACCUGUACCACAAUAGGAAUCCACAGUAAUUUUUGAUGUAUUUAUUUCCUCUUCAAUAAUGGUAAGAUUAUAUUAGUAAUUUUUGGGCAAGCCCAGGUUUCUUAACUCGUGUUUCAAAAAAUGUGUCCAGUUGGGAAGAGAGGUGACUACUCUUACUCUUGCUGUAAAAAAAAAUAAUAAAACAACACAAAACAAAACAAGAUGGCAUUGGUCCAGAGAAUGUAUUUGGUUUCUUUGUUCCAUAAGCCAAAAAAACUUUCUAUUUUAAAAGUAAUUUGUCAUUUUAUUAGGUUAACCAGAUGAAAUUGUCAAUAAUUCACUGGUUAUGACUCACAACAAUGGAAAUUUCAUUUAUUUCUUCUUAAUUCCUCUUCCCCUAACUGUGAGCAUCAGUUCUGCCAAUUAUAUUAACAAGGGAGACUAAAUAGAAAACACAAUAUUUAAUUAAAAUCUGAUUUUCUCUUACAUCAACAGACAGUAACAGCAAAAACUACAGUUGCUUCCAGCAUAUAGACAUUUUGCUUUUUAGAAUUCCUAGGUGAAAGAGACAUUUAACUAAUGGCAGCUAAAGAUACCUUUUCAUACGUUUUCAGAGAAAUAUGAUGAUAAGAAGAUAUCCCAGGAGCCAUCCCUAGGUGUUCUGAGGGGGCCAGAGCAAGUGAGGCUCCUGCAAACUAAGCCUUGCUCACUUCAUGGUCUCCAGGUCUGGCUGCUGUGCUCCUGAUGGUCUUUGACUAACGGAUACUGACAAGAAUAGAGUUUUCCGUGGAUGGAGCCCUGGGCUUGGUGACAGUGUACCCAUCUGGGACCUCUGUACCUCCAUCUGCUCCAGGUUCCACUUUCCCUGGCUGGGAGUCUUUUCAGGAAUUCAUCAGUGCAGUGUUAUGGACAUAGCCAUUUCCUGUGGGGAGAUUCCACACAGCUGCCCCAGGGAGAGGGCUGGAACCCAUCGAACAACAUUAUUGAACAAGAGCAAUAUUUUAGAAAGAAGAUAACUGUUUGUCUGAAGAUUGCUUGUUUUCAUCUUUCUGUUUUUCUUCUUGUCCUCUCUCAUGAGAAACUUCACACAUUAACUGAUCUAAAAAGUAGUCAUUCAGGUUUUAUGUACAUAAUCUAGAAAUGUUUAGUUCAGGUAAACAGUAUGAUUGUCUUAAAAGGGAAAACAAAAUUAUCAAACUGUGUUUCCCUUUGCGAACACUGAAAAGUAAUUUACAUGAUAUGAUGGGCCUUUGUUACUAUAUCUGAGAUAAUAAGAAACAGCUUCAAUUUCAAAAUGAAACCUUGACAUGAUUCAGAGUCUUUAACAAUGAGUUUCCCAUGAACAAUGUUAAUAUAAUCUUGGAUGGUCUAAGACCAAUGUUAAAUUUCUUGUGAUUCAAACUUCCUACAUGGGUUUUGUGCCUUAAAUCAGUUUCUGCUAUUUCCGUAGCCUUUUAAAGAUUAAACAUUAUGCAUACAAAUCUGUAGUCAAUUGAAUUCAAUGAUAAUGUUGAUCAUCUUUUCAGUUAAUAACUUAAUUUUAGAGUAUAAGAUGUAAUAGAAAAAUUGUUAAGAUUGUACGUGGUGUUCCUCUAUGCUUCCUAUUAUUAACAUGUUUUAUUAGUAUUAUAUAACUGCCACAAUUAAUGAACCACUAUAGGUACAAUAUUUUCAUUCUGUCUAUUCAUCAUUCAGAUUGCCUUGGUUUUUUCUCCCCUGGGUUUCAUCCAGAAUACCAUGUUACAAUUCAUCAUUAUUUUAUCUCCUGUGCUCCUCUUGACUGUGACAAUCUCCAGGAUUUUCUUUGUUUUGAUACUUUUGACAGUUUUGAGGAGUACAGGUGAAGCAUUUUCUAGAACUCUGCUCAGCUGUUAUUUGGCUGAUGUUUUCUUCAUGAUUGGGCUGGAUUUAAGGAUUUCUAGGAGAAAGAUCACAGAGGUACUCUGUGCUUCCUAUACAUAUUAUCAAGGAUACUUGCUGCCAACUUGACUCAUCACUGUUGGUGUUGAUCUUGGUUGCAUAGUUGGUGGUCAUUUGUCAGGUUUCUCCACUUCAAGGCUAUUCUUCUCCCACCUUUCCAUGCUGUACUCUGGAAGUCACUGUGGACAGUCCAUAUUUAAAAAGGGAAAAGUGACACUCCACUUUGUUGAGUAUGGAGUAUCCACAGAAAUUAUUUGAAAUUCUCGUGCAAAAAAUUAUCUGCUGUUCCACAUUUAUUCAACCAUUUAUUGUGUGCAUGGGUGUUUUAGUAUAUCCUUACAUUUUGUACAAUAAGAUGAUCAGGCUCCUCUUGUGAAUUCCCUGUCCCAACCCCAAAAUAAUCCACUUGUUUACCUGUCCAAAAUGCACUGGCUUCCUUGGUGAACAGAAAUCAAAAUGUUCACCAGAAGUCAUUGUUACACAGAAUAAUUUUCAUUUAUCUCCAAUAAGGAGACCACAGGGAAUUGUUUACAAAGCUGUGGAUCUCUGAGGAAGGAAAAACAGGUACCUCUUAUUUUGUGUGAGGCAAGACUAUUCAAAAGGGUAAGUUUUGCCAUCCCAUGUAGAGGUGGGCAUAAGCUAGCACAGCUGUAGUUUGGAAACACCGUCUCACAUACAACACAUGCUUUGAGAAUGAGGUCAAGCUUCUCCUGGGCUGGAGGUCUUAGUAUUAAAUGUGAAGGGUGACUUUGGGCAAAUCUUGACCCAUCUGCAAAGGCAUCACUCUUGCAGCAAGAUUUGGACUAGUUCAGAAUGGUUGGCGAUUGCAUCUGUUCCUGGAAUGUAUCUGAAAAGCAACUUUGAAAGGCAUCAGAUGAUUUGUGAGUUUCAGGAUUUUGAAGGAGAAAUGACUCAAGAGCUGCUUGGGGGCGUCAAUCUGCAGUAGUUUCUCUAAGGAACCCCGCUUCCCUUUAUUGGAGAAUGGUACGAGAAACCAAGAUCUGGGUUCUGGGUAUGCUCAUGGUUCCUGGGGCAUCACAUCUUUUAGGCCCUCUUAACUAAAAGGGCAAGAAAAUGUAUGUGAAUACACAGGUUAUAUAUGUCUGUGUUUAUAGAUACUAACAGAUCUAUAAAUAGUUCUGUGUGUAUUCAUCUAUAAGAAUCUACAUGUGGGUUUACACUGACGUAACCAACUUUAAUCCAUUUCCUAUGUAUCUUUAUAGCCUUCUACCUUUGCUCAUAUGUCUCCUCUCACUUUAACAGUAAGAAAUCUGGUACCCACUAUCCCCCAUCUAUUCAGUCUUUCAAUUCUAUGAGUGCAUAGUCAUUUUAGAUGUGCUAACUCCAAUCUUGGUAGAAAACGACAUUACCACAUAGAAUAUAGUACUAAUAUACAGAUCUUUUUUGCCUUUAGUAUUAGAAUCUCUGCUCACUCUGCUCAUUUCUUAUUUAUUUUUUCUUUCUUUUUUUUUUUUUGACAGGCAGAGUGGACAGUGAGAGAGAGAGACAGAGAGAGAAAGGUCUUCCUUUGCUGUUGGUUCACCCUCCAAUGGCUGCUGUGGCCAGUGCACUGCAGCCGGCGCACCGCGCUGAUCCAAAGGCAGAAGCCAGGUGCUUCUCCUGGUCUCCCAUGGGGUGCAGGGCCCAAGCACUUGGGCCAUCCUCCACUGCACUCCCUGGCCACAGCAGAGAGCUGGCCUGGAAGAGGGGCAACCAGGACAGAAUCCAGCCCCCGACUGGGACUAGAACCCGGUGUGCCGGCGCCGCAAGGCGGAGGAUUAGCCUAUUGAGCCGUGGCGCCGGCCUCUGCUCAUUUCUAAAAUUACUUAGGUCAGUGAAUUUCCCUGCAACUCUCCUCAGUGAAGUUAUGUCAUAUAUUUGUAAUACAGCUAGAUUGCCUUGUCAUAGACUGCAGUUUCAUCUUGUGAUCUCUUACCUCCUCAAUGAAUUUUUAAAAUUUAUAAUCUUUAAAGUUCCCCCUUUGUGAAGUAAUAUUUUAUGCAUUUUGACAAAUGCACAGCUUCAUGUAUCCACCGUUACUUUCACUCCCCUAAAAAAAUUCUCUAUUCUUCAUUAUCUUCCCUCGCCAGGCCUCUAAUAACUGCCUGUUGUCUGUUUAUUGUCUCUAUAGUUUAAUGUUUCCCAGACUGUCAUACAAAUGGCAUCACACAGUAUGUGGCCUUUUCAGACUUGAGUCUUUCACUUGAAAAUUUACUUGUUAUUGUGCUUGUUAGUUCAUUCCUUUCUAUCACUGAACAGCAUUCUUGUACUAUACCCUUAGUGUCUUUAUCGAUUUACCUGGUGAAGGAAAUCUUGGUUGCAUCCAGUUUUGGAUCACUGUGAAUAAAGCUGCUGUAAACAUUUAUGUGCAAGUUUUUGUAUGGACAUUUGUUUUCACAUCAAGUAGGUAAAUAACUGGUAGCACCAUGUCUAAAUCACAUGACAAGACUUCAUUUAGCUUUGUAAGAAACUUCCAACUCUGUUCCAAAGUGGCUGUACCUUUUUGUAUUACCACCAGCAAAGAAUGAGAAUUCCUCUUGCUCUGUAUGCUUGCCAGCAGUUGACUUAGUGUUUUGGACUUAAGCCAUUCUAAUAUAUUUGAAGUAGCGUUUUAUUGUCAUCUUGUAUUUCCCUAAUGACAAAUGAUGUUGAGUACCUUUUCAUAUGCUUAUUUACAAUCUGUGUAGGUUCUUGAGUUCUUGUCUGAUCUUUCACACCCUCAACACUCAAUUGCUUCUCUACUACACCAAGAGGACAUCUUUAGCUUACUGCAGGUAUAUAAUUCUAUGUGGAGUUUCUUAUUCUGUUAUAGCUUCCAGCAGGCCAGGACAAAGCCUGCUACACCUUGUUAAAUCAAAAUACUUGAGACCAAGACAUCUCUGGACUAAAAGGAUUUAUUGAGCCAUGAAAGAGCUUAGGCAGAAAAAAAAAACCAAAACAAAACAAAAAAAACUGAUCCUGGGACAAAUUCUCAGCCAUCAGCAGCAAAGCAAGGUAACAUCUGAGCAGAUGUCUGCUGGAUCUAAAAUCAGAGUCCUUUAUAAUGAAACAGUGGGGGAAGGAAAACACCAGUUAUUUAUACUGAAGCUGUCACUAGCUAAUUCUUCUAGCUGCUCACCGGUCUUUGUAACUCCUUUCUGCUUCAAGCACCUGAAGCCUUCAAAGCAUCUGAUGUUCUCCAAAGCUGUUUGGUGUGUGUGUGUGCUUUUCAGUCACAUUCCAGUGAGAGACACAAUCACCAGCCACCCGAAUCUGCGAGGGCAAAACCUGUGCUGAUGAUUCAAAAGAUAUCCAAAGGUCACCUCUCCCUUCAUUUAAUGCUAAGCUCUCUGCCUUCUGCGUGAGACGCAUGCCAGCGCUUCUGUCCUGUGCCGGCAUGAGCUUGUGCCGGUCUUUACAUAUGAUGACAAGAACUCCCCUUCUUGAAUACCCAUUUCCCCCUAAAAUAAAACAUGCUUCUUCUUUCCUUGCUCAGGGAAUUAAUUUGGAAACAAUUCUCCCCAUGAGCUGCCUUUUUUUUUUUCCUGGAAGACAAGCUACUUUCUGUGACCAUUACUUCUGGUCGAGGUUUGGAUUUCUGCUCCCCAAGAAGUGAGCCCUGUCCUGAUUCAGUGAGGAACCCACAUUAGCGACUAUAGAGAGGGGUGAUGACCCCGAGCAGCUCUUGUCUCUGAAUUGAGUGGGGCUGCAAGCAGGAUGUGAAGUCACUGAGGGAUCCCCAGAGCAUUUAAGUUUUCAUCAUAAUUCAUGAAUGCAAAAUGGUUUUCUGUUCUUUUCUGCCUGUAACGUGUUACUGAUUAAUCUCAGAUCGCUCUUUCCUUCCACUCCAUGCCCUUUGUAACUAAAUACAGGAAUCUCAGAAUUUUUUCAUUAUCACUCCAGUGAUCAAAUGACAUAUGGUAGAGCAUUUUGAGAUAUGAAUUAUAGCCAUAUACACCUACUUACAUUCCCAUCCAGAAGUAGCCCCUUCAACCAAUUUGUCACAAUUCCUCCUUUCUAGUUUUUUUCUGUUCAGUGACAUUGUUUUUUCCUAUGCUUGUUUUUUUUUUUUUUCUUUUCUUUUGGACAUUUAGUUUAUUUCCAACUUCUUUAUCUUAAGUCGUGCUGGAAUGAAACACAGGCUUCAUAAAUAUCUGACCCUGUUUCAGAUGAAAUCCUACAAUUACAAUUACCAAGUAAGAUUUCAGCCGCCUUUUAAAGGUUCUUUAAUGCACACAUCCAGAUUGCUUCUUCACAGGAUUACUAACAUGUUAUUUACACUGGCAGGAGCUGAAGACGCUCACCGUUACCCUCCCACUGGCACCGGGGAAGGUCAGUGGCUCUUGUCUUUGUCAGGCUGUCAGCCCACCAAGGCAGCUUGUGCUACUUUCCAUGUAUUUACUUUGCUGGCAAGUUUGAACAGUUCCUAUUAUGCUGGAAAUUACUUUCCUAGAAUAGUUUUUGUAAAGUACUCAUUUGUGGCCUCAGUGAAGAUUCACUCUAGUCUGAGUCACAGCCACAAGCUGCUUCUCCAGCUAUCUUGGAAAUGCAUCCUUAAUCACAAAACAAGACCGGAGCAAUCAAGACCUGAGCAAAGGGUGGAGCUCAAAGCCCCAGUGUUCAGGUCAGGACAAACCAGGUGAGCACCACAGCCUCUUCGUGACCAUGCCUGGGAAGUGGGGGUAGUGGCUAACUUUCUCCACCCUUGUUCAUGAAAUGGGGGUAUCACCUGUGCUUCACAGGGUUUCUGUAAGGAUGGCAUGAGGCACGCUUCCCUCUUUUCAGGCUCCUUGCCAAGACUGCUUGAGAAUCUAGUUACUGUGUCAAGUUAUCUGUUAUCAUGAACAGGGAAUAUUUGGUUUGUAGGAGACAUGAUGUUGCAUGGAGAAGAUGGGGCUGGCCUCAAGGAAAGAAAGUGUGAUAGAAAUCUUAGCUACACGUAUAAGGUGAUGGAGUAUACUAGUUAGGCGAUUUUUAUUUGUUCAAGGGCCAGUUGGGAAGAAAAGCAGUUUACAGACUAUAUACAUACCAUAUAUAUUUUUAAUUUAUUUUUAUUUUUUAUUAUUUUAAAGCUUCACAUUUAUUUGAGAGGCAGAGUUACAGACAGAGAGAAGAGACAGAGAGGUCCUCCAUCCUCUGGUCCAGUCCCCAAAUGGCCACGAUGGCCUGAUCUGGGCUGAUCUGAAGCCAGGAGCCAGGAACUUCUUCAGGUUCUCCCACACGCAUGCAGUGGUCCAAGCACUUGGUUCAUCUUCUACUGCUUUCCCAGGCCGUCAGCAGGGAGCUGGAUUGGAAGUGGAGCAGCUGGGUUUGAAAUGGUACCCAUUUGAGAUGCUGAUGCAGCAGUUUGGUGGUUAACCUACUAAACCACAGCACCAGCCCCCAUAUUGCAUAUAUUAAAAAAUGCUUCACUAAAUCACUGCCAGCCCACAAGAGAGGAAAUUUCUAACAUGUUUGUGAUUAAUCACAUCUCAACGUACCCUGAGUGACCUAGUGGCUGGAUCCAGCUGCAGUCAAAGAUGACUCCCAGCACACUUACGGGGGUCAGCAUGCUGGAAAUCAGUAUCAGUGAAGUAGAAAUCAUAGAAAAAUCAGAUCAUUGGUGAUCUCUUAACACCCUAGUCGCUAAUAUCAAAACAAGUAAUUAUGGUUUGGUGGAGAACUAGUACUGUAAAUGUUAAUUGCUGAAACAAAGGAGAUAUACAUAAGGGCAAGCCUUUGGAAAUAUUUACAGAUAUAUUUAAAAUAAAACUACAUAAAGAAAAGCACAUUUGAAUCUCUAAGUUGACUGUACAGGAAAAACUGAUACAGAAUAUUGCAUACUAAACAAACCUUAAUAAAAAUAUUGAAUGUCAAAAAUAGAAAAUUGUUUUACAUGUAUGUAGAUGAUUAAGUCACAUUUAAUGAGAAAGAAAAACAAGACUGCUGGCUUCAUGCCUUAGACUUCUUCAUAUAACCAUUCAAUAUUAAAAGAUAUUAGAGGGGUUGGUGUUGUGGCUUAGCUGGUAAAGCCGCCACCUGCAGUGCCAGCAUCCCAUAUGGGCGCUGGUUCCAGUCCUGGCUGCUCCACUUCCAAUCCAACUCUCUGACAUGGCAUAGGAAAACAGGAGAAGAUGGCCCAAGUCCUUGGGCCUCUGUACCCACAUGGGAGACCUGGAAGAAGCUCCUGGCUCCUGGCUUCAGUUCAGCCAAUUGUGGCCAUCUGGGGAGUGAACCAGUGGAUGAAAGACUUCUCUCUCUCUCUCUCUGCCUUUCAAAUUAAUAAAUAAAUCUUUAAAAAAGAUAUUAGAGUAAUAUUUUUAAGUUUAUACAAAGAAACGUGGCCAAAAUUUUGUUCAAAGACAAAAAACAAAUUUCCUCUCAUAUCUAUCCUCUACCUAUCUCUAUAUCUGUCUAGUACCUACCUUUGUAUCAUAUAUCGCUUUUUUGUAGAUGUUAAAAAGGUACCUUUUAAAAAUUGACAUUUAUUUAUAUCACACUCUUAAUAAAAUAAAAAUAGAUGCUUCCUUGACAUUUAAAAAUCUCUGUGUGUGUAAUCUGAAAUUAAAGGCCCAUGUCAUGUCUAAUGAGAGAACACAAGAAUCUCUUCCAUUACAUUUAAGUAAAAGACAAAGAUGGGAAGCAUCAGUACUGUUAAAUAUUGCUCCACAACUACUAGCUAGAGGAAAAUAUAAAUGUAAAAGAGGGUAUAAAUGGUUAUUCUUUGCAAAUGAUACACUCAUAUAUUUGGAAAAUCUAAGAAAAUCAAUAGAAAGAAAUAUUGCCAAUGGAGAUUCAUUAGCUAGUAAAGUACAAAAUUAAUACACAGAAAUAUCUGACAUUAUUUCUACAAAGUACAGAGGGUGAUAGCCCCAGGCAUCUCCAGGUUGUGGCGGCAUCACUCCGCUCUGUUGCUGUCUUUCCGUGGUUAUGUUGCCUCUGUGACCUCUCCUUUUCUUAAAAAGACCUCAGUCACUGGAUUUAGGAUCACCUCCAAGUCCAGGAUGACUUUAUCUUGAAAAGCUAAACUAAUUAGAUCUGCAAAAAACUUUUUUCAAAAUAAGAUCACAUUCUGAGUUCUGCAUACACCUAAAUUUCUGAUAGACAUUGUUCAACCCUUAUGCCUGUGUGUACUCCUUGGGAUAUUUUGAAAUUUGUACUACGUAUAUGUAUCCUCUAGUCAAAAUAAAUUAGAUAACACAAGUCCUCAUUUGUGAUGUGAAUAUAUGCUAUUUGCAUCUCUGUGUGCAUUCAUACUUUUUUAUAAAGCGUAAUGACCUUAGCUUUAGAGCUGUACUUACCAGGUUAAAAUUAGUCCUGUGGAAGGACUAGAGAGGGAGGCAGAAGGAAUUAGCUGUGAGGAAGGAUUAGAGAUAAGCAGAAGCAGAGUGGGGAGCUCAUCUCUGUAAUGAGUCAUGGGAUUUAAAAAGAUUAUUUCUUUAUUAGUUUAUCUUUAUUUAUUUGAAAGGCAUAGAGAUGGGGGUGGCGAGCAGGGAAAAGGGAAAAAGAGAGUAGGCUCAACCUUCUAUCUGCUGGUUCAUUACCCAGUUGGCUGUAGCAGCUGGGACUGGGUCAAACUAAAGCCAGGAGUCAGAAACUCAAUCUGGGUCUCUCUCGUGGGUGGUGGGGUCCUAAGAAUUUCAGCCAUCACCUGUUGCCUCUCAGGGCAUGCAUUAUCAGGAAGCUGGAAUCAGGGGCAGAGAUGGGACUCCAAUCCAGGCACUUCAGUGUGAGAUGUGAGCUUCUCAAGCAGCCCAUAAGAUUUGACACAUGUUUUAUACUAAGAUACAUUUUACGGAACAUUAUAUUAUGAAAAAAAUGGACUUGAGUUCUAAGGUAAAAAGAAAUAUGCUUACAACUUGGAAUAAACUCUAAAGAAUUCAAGCAUGACGAUGAGAAGGUUGACAUUGUUCUCUAUCAACAAAAUGUUAGUGUCUGAGUUACCUGGGAAGUAGUGACAUGAAGGUGACUCUCUAGUCUUGCAUCCUAAAAUUAGGAUUGUUGUACCCCACAAUGCAUGACCACCAGACUAGGCUGAUGAAUGCUGAGAGAUUGCAUUGCCUGGGAUGAGGGUGGAGGCCUGAGAGUGAAAGACUCCAGGGAAUUCUGCUACCUGUUCUGGGAGCGGGCACACCUGAGGUUGCUGUGGCAGAAUACUCAGGUGGUGGAUGGCAGAAAGUCUGGGGCCCCUCAGCCGCUCCUGGGGAGAGUCGCAGUACAUGAAUAUCCCCCAAAUAAUGAUUGCGUUCAACAAAAAGCUCUUCCUGGCAAAACAGCUCUAAAAUAUACACUAAGAUGACAUAAAGCUGUUUACUGUCUUUCUCUCCACUCCGGAUCCUAGGGGAUUUACAAUCAUUUAUUGUUCAGUAGUAAGCCUAAGGUGGCAGUGUCCCAACCAUGGAUAUUACAGUCGGGAAAGGCUCUCUCCUGGCCGUGGGUGCCAUGAGCCCGGUGGCCUCCAUAAAGCCCUCUUUUGGGUUCAUAUUUCAGGCCUGCGUUUGGGAGGUCACUGAGUCUGAACAGAGAAUACAGUCCUGCAGUACAGAUGGAAGCCACAGAGGGUAUUAAACAUGCGAGAGGGAGACAGUUUAGAAUCUUUCAGAAUUCAGUUUGCAUUGAAGAUCCAGGAGGCUCCAGUGCAGCCUGCGCACCCCUGAGAGGUGGCCAUCACAGGACAGUCUCUCCUUGCAGUGGUCCUUGAGAGAAACUUUCAACGUUGCUCUGCUGGUUUUUAAGAAAACAAGCACAGUUGACUGGGAAGUGCCCCGAAGCGCAUGGCAUGGUCCAAGAGGUGGUGCAGAAGACACCUUCCAGGCAGGGCUGUGGAGACGUUGGGCUUCUGGAAUCCUCUUCACACUUUAGGAUGGAAAUGGUUAUUUCAUGGAUUUUGGUUUUCCCUUGGAUUGGAAAAUUGUACACAGAAACGUACGGGAGUGCUUGAGUGUUCUCUGGGGUGAAGAGGCGUUGUGGUAAGAAAUCACCCUGCUGACUGCUGGGAAUGAUUUAUGGUGCCCAAGGGUGCUGCUGUCAGUGGCGUCAAGGAUGCAUCUAGAGCUCCCAUGCCUCCUUCCUGGGGCACCAGAAGAUUUAAGUUUCAAAAUCACAGCACAUCAUCCUAGUACCACCGAUGAACUCCCUUCUUUAUUCAAAUAGCAUGUAUGUAGGAAAAUUGAAUUUGAUCCAUGCUAAUUUUUCUCCUCGGUGCAAGCACAUUAGUUUAUAUAUUUUCCCUUAACCUCCUUCCAAUACCUUUAAUUUUCCCUAACAUUCUUCCUUUAAAAUGCCUUCUUUUGGGGACCAAUGUUUGACCUGACAGUUAAGAUGGCCACAUUCCACAUUGGAGUGUACCCAGCUCCAGUUCCUGACUCCAGCUUCCUGCUAGUGCGCACCCUGGGAGGCAGCAGGCAGUGGCUCAGGCAAUUGGAUCUCUGCCACCCAUGUUCCACGUGGGAGACUUGGAUUGAGUUCCUGGCAUCCAACUUCAACCUCAGCCCAGGCCCAGCCAUUAUGGGCAUUUGGAAAGUGAACCAGCUCAUAGGGGCUUUGUUUUUCCCUCUCUUACUUGAACCCUCCAGUAAAUAAAAUAAAAUUUUUUAAAAAAGUAAAUACAAUAAAAUAUGUACUCUUCAGUGUGGGUUAUCACAAAGGAGACAUAUUUAAUUCACAUUUAUUGGUUAGGUAUACAGACAGCCUUUUGCAGGAAUAGGAUUGCGAGGAAUGGCCAAGAAAUGCCAUAAUUCUUAAGUUUGCUCUUAUUUUUAUUGAACUAAAGUCAUACAUAAAACUUUAGUAAUGUAUACUUGUCACAAUAUUGGCACUCCUAUGUGCCAUUUAUUUCCUUUAUUACUUAUUUCUGCCUUGCUUUCCCUUAUACAAAUUUUUUAUUGUAUUUGCCCCAAAUUUGUUUUAUUUAGUGCUACUGAUUAUCUGGAAGUUUUG